rnacentral:rRNA from 1 species
CCAAUAGCGUAUAUUAAAGUUGUUGCAGUUAAAAAGCUCGUAGUUGAAUUUCGGAAUCAAUGGAUCGGUCAUGCCAAUCGGUGUGUACUGGUUUGAUUGGUUCUCACCUUCUAAGGAACCGUGAUGUCAUUAAUUUGGUGUCGCGGGGAAUUAGGACUGUUACCUUGAAAAAAUUAGAGUGUUUAAAGCAAGCUCACGCUUGAAUACAUUAGCAUGGAAUAAUGAAAUAGGACAUUGUAUUCUAUUUUGUUGGUUUCUAGGAUCGAUGUAAUGAUUAAUAGGGAUAGUUGGGGGCAUUAGUAUUCAAUUGUCAGAGGUGAAAUUCUUGGAUUUAUUGAAGAAUAACUACUGCGAAAGCAUUUGCCAAGGAUGUUUUCAUUAAUCAAGAACGAAAGUUAGGGGAUCGAAGACGAUCAGAUACCGUCGUAGUCUUAACCAUAAACUAUGCCGACUAGGGAUCGGAUGAUGUUAAUUUUAUAAUGACUCAUUCGGCACCUUACG